rnacentral:ncRNA from 1 species
AUAAUAUACCUUCGAGUCUUUGAGCCUAAGAAAAAAUAUGAAAAUUUUAUGGUGAAUUGACCAAUGGGCUAAAGUAGAAAUACUUUAACCUCCCGUGUUUGGAAAGAAGAUAAACU